UACGUAGGGGACGAGCGUUGUCCGGAUUUACUGGGCGUAAAGGGCGCGUAGGCGGUCAUUUAAGUCAGCUGUGAAAUGGUGCGGCUUAACCGCAUCAUGCGGUUGAAACUGGAUGACUGGAGUGCUGGAGAGGCAAGUGGAAUUCCCAGUGUAGCGGUGAAAUGCGUAGAUAUUGGGAAGAACACCGGUGGCGAAGGCGACUUGCUGGCCAGCAACUGACGCUGAGGCGCGAAAGCCAGGGGAGCAAACGGG
rnacentral:rRNA from 1 species